CAGUCCCUGCUUGAGGGAAGGUCUGUUGAAAAGUUUGAAAAGGAUUUCUACAAUCAGUGAAAAGGAAGUGGGUGAUGUGUCUGGUUGGUGUUUAAGGACCAUGGGGGCAGGUCACGUUGGGGCCCUCUUUCCUGUCCACAUCUGUGCACUACAAUGACCCUGAUGCCCCAGAAGAAGUCCCAGGGUCUGAGAUUGGAUUGCAGGGUCAUGAAAUCCAACCUGGCUGACUUCCUUCUUCCCCUACCAGUAGCUACCUUGAAGACUCAGGAGAAGCUGGAGCUCAAUUGGGCACAGCUAAGUGCAUUCAUUUAGCUUCAUGGCAGUGGUUGUGGGAAAUAGGGGGAGAAGAGGCUUAUAAAUGGGGGGGGGGAGAGUGGUUUUGCUUGUCUUCAGAGAGCAUUUUCUUUUAAAUUUUGAAAGAGCAUAAGAACACAUUUUCUCUUGCCCCUUCUCUGGGGUUUUCUAGGCUUUACUGUUUAUUUUGACACUGUUUUCUUCAAGGUUUAUCUCUGAGCCCUUCCUGAGCUCCUUCCCUGCUAUUUGGAAGGAGAUAGGCAAAGUCCAGCACAAAGGAAACAAACAGAAGUGAUGGGCUGCAAAAGGCCUGCUGGUUUGGGCCACCUGCUGGAAGGCCUCAAGGCAGAGCCAGGAGACCCUUCUUUUGAAUCAGAGCCACGUGCCUACAAUCCAAAUCAAAGGUGCUUAUGGCAGUUCAAUGAGGUGUUGCUUAUGAAAUGCCCCGGAUGAGCUGGAUAUCUGGCAGACACUGAUGAGUCUGGCGCGUCUGGAUGUAAAAUUGGCUGGAGUUGCAUCAGGACCUCUCACCUAUGGAAAAGUGUGGCUCCGCUAGAAGAAGCAAAGGGCUGGAAUUGGGAAUGGAGAUGAAAGUGUGACCCCCCCUGAAGACACAGAUUAUGGAGUGGAAGAAGAAAAGAAAGAUAACGUUGAGGAUCCACACUGGGAUUAAGUCAUACUCAGUGUGGGGAAAGAAAAAUCUCAAAUAACUCAAUUGUUGAUGGAAGGAUUUAAGAAGAUGAGAAUAGGCAAAUCCUGUGGAACUAUAAAUUAUGCAAAUUUAAAGCCAUUGAAUUUGCUUUUAAAAGCACCUUGGACAAUGUAAGUAAUGUUAUUUUCUCUGUAAACAUCAUAACCUAGAAGAUUAGUUGGAUAUGAUCAGUAUGGAGUCUGUCAUUCAGAGCUUGACAAAUCAUAUUCUGCAAAAUUACUUCUUGUGAAUAACUGUUAGAUCUUUUUUUAAGGAGAUACUAAAGUCAAAACUUUGGUUAUUUUAAAUUCAACUCCAUGAUUUGUAAUUUCUGUAGACGAGCCAGAUUUGAUUUUGUCGUCUGCAAGUCUAAAGUUUAUAAUGCAUGUAAUUUGAUUUUCUUUCUCUAGAGAUAUUUUAUCUAUCUGAUAUGAGUCUUUAUCAGCUUAAGCAAAGUAAAAAUUUCCAUAAGUGUAGAAUCCCUUACUUUUAAAGACACUGUU